CCUACGGGUGGCAGCAGUGAGGAAUAUUGGUCAAUGGACGCAAGUCUGAACCAGCCAUGCCGCGUGCAGGAUGACGGCUCUAUGAGUUGUAAACUGCUUUUGUACGAGGGUAAACCCCGAUACGUGUAUCGGGGGGAAAGUAGCGGACUAAGAAGGAACGGCUAACUCCGUGCGAGCAGCCGCGGUAAGACGGAGGAUCCGAGCGUUAUCCGGAUUUAUUGGGUGUAAAGGGUGCGUAGGCGGUUGGAUAAGUUAGAGGUGACAUGUCGGGGCUCAACCCCGAAACUGCCUCUAAUACUGUUGGACUAGAGAAUAGUUGCGGUAGGCGGAAUGUAUGGUGUAGCGGUGAAAUGCUUAGAGAUCAUACAGAACACCGAUUGCGAAGGCAGCUUACCAAACUAUAUCUGACGUUGCGGCACGAACGCGUGGGUAGCAAACAGGAUUAGAUACCCCGGUAGUC
rnacentral:rRNA from 1 species